UACGUAGGGUGCGAGCGUUGUCCGGAAUUAUUGGGCGUAAAGAGCUCGUAGGCGGUCUGUCACGUCGGCUGUGAAAACCCGGGGCUCAACCCCGGGCCUGCAGUCGAUACGGGCAGACUGGAGUCCGGCAGGGGAGACUGGAAUUCCCGGUGUAGCGGUGAAAUGCGCAGAUAUCGGGAGGAACACCGGUGGCGAAGGCGGGUCUCUGGGCCGGUACUGACGCUGAGGAGCGAAAGCGUGGGGAGCGAACAGG
rnacentral:rRNA from 1 species